CACUAAGAAGCUUUUAUGACAAGCAACAGCCUUUUAAGCUGUAGUAGGUGACACCAACCACCCUUAAUGA
rnacentral:tRNA from 1 species